rnacentral:rRNA from 1 species
GAGUUUGAUCUUGGCUCAGAACGAACGCUGGCGGCAGGCUUAACACAUGCAAGUCGAACGCGUGUAGCAAUACACGAGUGGCGCACGGGUGAGUAACGCGUAUGCAAUCUGCCUUUUACAGAGGGAUAGCCCAGAGAAAUUUGGAUUAAUACCUCAUAGUAUUAUGAAUCGGCAUCGAUUUAUAAUUAAAGUUCCAACGGUAAAGAUGAGCAUGCGUCCCAUUAGCUAGAUGGUAAGGUAACGGCUUACCAUGGCGACGAUGGGUAGGGGUCCUGAGAGGGAGAUCCCCCACACUGGUACUGAGACACGGACCAGACUCCUACGGGAGGCAGCAGUGAGGAAUAUUGGUCAAUGGGCGCAAGCCUGAACCAGCCAUGCCGCGUGCAGGAUGACGGUCCCUAUGGAUUGUAAACUGCUUUUUGACAGGAAGAAACACUCCUACGUGUAGGAACUUGACGGUACUGUAAGAAUAAGGAUCGGCUAAC